AUUGAACGCUGGCGGCAGGCCUAACACAUGCAAGUCGAGCGGAUGAAGGGAGCUUGCUCCUGGAUUCAGCGGCGGACGGGUGAGUAAUGCCUAGGAAUCUGCCUGGUAGUGGGGGAUAACGCCCGGAAACGGGCGCUAAUACCGCAUACGUCCUGAGGGAGAAAGUGGGGGAUCUUCGGACCUCACGCUAUCAGAUGAGCCUAGGUCGGAUUAGCUAGUUGGUGGGGUAAAGGCCUACCAAGGCGACGAUCCGUAACUGGUCUGAGAGGAUGAUCAGUCACACUGGAACUGAGGCACGGUCCAGACUCCUACGGGAGGCAGCAGUGGGGAAUAUUGGACAAUGGGCGAAAGCCUGAUCCAGCCAUGCCGCGUGUGUGAAGAAGGUCUUCGGAUUGUAAAGCACUUUAAGUUGGGAGGAAGGGCAGUAAGUUAAUACCUUGCUGUUUUGACGUUACCAACAGAAUAAGCACCGGCUAACUUCGUG
rnacentral:rRNA from 1 species